UCUUCACCCCUGUCCCCUGUGCCCAGAGUGGGAACUACAGGCCCAGAGCCACGCAUGUGCCCUUCUCAGGCCUCCUCCCUUACAGAUGACACAGCCAUGCUUACAACUGCCUGAUUGCCUGUGUAUCACAAGGCUGCCAUGACAAAAAGUGACAAAGUCCUGUCUCUUCGAGGACCUCAGCUGGGUCUUUUAAUGAAACUUGUUCUGGGCCAGCAUCCAUCGUGAUCUUUGUGCGGCUCUGCACACACUCCCUGAUUCUAUCUGACUCACAUAGUUCUAGAUAGUAUCUCCAGUUCUUUUUGUAGAUGAUGUGUCAUAGAAUGUCAUCAUCUGUUGGUCUGGCCUGACCCCAGUCUGUUAAAACACACGGUAGGAGAGGCUUCGGCGACGUGGCCCAGCUACAGAAGUUAACCACCCCACUCUGCAGGGCCUGAGUCCGGGCAAACACAAGCAAACCCAACCUGCACCACGGGUGCGUGGCUCUGCUUUGGGAGCAGAUUCAGUGUGUGCCUAGGGCACAUGCCUUCUGCAGAAGAUCAGAACUGAUUUCCCUGGCCCCUCUGCGCACCGCCACUUGGGAGAACACACAAGGCGGGCACAGAGCUGGGCUGGUGAGAUGAGAAACUCUCCAGAAAGGACCAGGCGAUCCAAAGGCUGCCCUGUUUCCUGCCUCAGUAGAGAGGCAGCCGAGAUGGCCACUGCUGAGCUUUCUAGUGCCUUUGCUGAGAGACUGUUGUGGAGCUCUGUGCUUACUAAUGUACAGACGGUUUUCAAGUAUAGUCCUUAAAAUCCAAGAGGAUUUGUCCAUGGAUAAAGAGCUAUAGGCUAAGAGAUUCUGCAAGUUCCCAGCUAUUUUUGUAUGUUGGACAUGUUACCCCUUUAAAAGCAACCAGAAAUAAAAGCCUUUAAGCAUUU